UGCCUUAUGUAUUGACAUAAGGGUAAGGGAUUGUUGUCAACUGUCUGAUUAGCAUUCCAAUCUGGAAUCGAGUC
rnacentral:ncRNA from 1 species